rnacentral:rRNA from 1 species
AACGAACGCUGGCGGCAGGCCUAACACAUGCAAGUCGAGCGAGGACUUCGGUUCUAGCGGCGGACGGGUGAGUAACGCGUGGGAAUGUGCCCUUCUCUACGGAAUAUCCCUGGGAAACUGGGAGUAAUACCGUAUACGCCCUUUUGGGGAAAGAUUUAUCGGAGAAGGAUCAGCCCGCGUUGGAUUAGGUAGUUGGUGGGGUAAUGGCCUACCAAGCCGACGAUCCAUAGCUGGUUUGAGAGGAUGAUCAGCCACACUGGGACUGAGACACGGCCCAGACUCCUACGGGAGGCAGCAGUGGGGAAUCUUAGACAAUGGGGGCAACCCUGAUCUAGCCAUGCCGCGUGAGUGAUGAAGGCCUUAGGGUUGUAAAGCUCUUUCAGCUGGGAAGAUAAUGACGGUACCAGCAGAAGAAGCCCCGGCUAACUCCGUG